rnacentral:rRNA from 1 species
AGCGAACGCUGGCGGCAGGCCUAACACAUGCAAGUCGAACGGAUCCUUCGGGAUUAGUGGCGGACGGGUGAGGAACACGUGGGAACGUGCCCUUUGGCUCGGAACAACUCAGGGAAACUUGAGCUAAUACCGGAUGUGCCCUUCGGGGGAAAGAUUUAUCGCCAUUGGAGCGGCCCGCGUCUGAUUAGCUAGUUGGGGAGGUAACGGCCCACCAAGGCGACGAUCAGUAGCUGGUCUGAGAGGAUGAUCAGCCACACUGGGACUGAGACACGGCCCAGACUCCUACGGGAGGCAGCAGUGGGGAAUCUUGCGCAAUGGGCGAAAGCCUGACGCAGCCAUGCCGCGUGAAUGAUGAAGGUCUUAGGAUUGUAAAAUUCUUUCAGCGGGGACGAUAAUGACGGUACCCGCAGAAGAAGCUCCGGCUAACUUCGUG